CGGAGGCAGCAGUAAGGAAUUUUUCGCAAUGGGCGAAAGCCUGACGAAGCAACGCCGCGUGGAGGAUGAAGGUCUUCGGAUUGUAAACUCCUGUCGACCGGGACGAAUGCACUCGACCUAAUACGUCGAGCUGUUGACGGUACCGGUGGAGGAAGCCACGGCUAACUCUGUGCCAGCAGCCGCGGUAAUACAGAGGUGGCAAGCGUUGUUCGGAAUUACUGGGCGUAAAGGGCGCGUAGGCGGCCUUAUAAGUCUCGUGUGAAAGCCCUCGGCUUAACUGAGGAUCUGCACGGGAUACUGUAGGGCUCGAGUUCGGGAGAGGAAAGCGGAAUUCCGGGUGUAGCGGUGAAAUGCGUAGAUAUCCGGAGGAACACCAGGGGCGAAGGCGGCUUUCUGGACCGACACUGACGCUGAGGCGCGAAAGCUAGGGGAGCAAACGGGAUUAGAAACCCUGGUAGUCCC
rnacentral:rRNA from 1 species